UAUAUUAUAGUGUAAGGUGCACGUUGAAUUUUGAAUUCAUUGGUUUAAGUUCAAUUCUUAGUUUUAUAA
rnacentral:tRNA from 1 species